CACUUUACAAAACCUUUAUUCAAUAAUACAUACUAAUUAAAAAUUUACUAUCAAGUCCAUCUUAUUAGAAAAAAUACUCCUCUCCAUCUGAAUUAAUAAAAUUAUUUAAAGUAGUCCAUUAAACCUUUUUUAUAAACUGCAUUAUGACUUGACAUAAAAAUCAAUAAAUUUUAUAGUUCUUUUUCUUAAAAUAAAAACUAACGACAGCAAUACACAAACUGUAUAUAUAUGCAUAUAUAUAUCAAAAAAAAGUAAGUUUAAAAUGUGGAUCAUCAAACUAAUUAACAAACUCCCCUAACCGGAUAUGUAAAACCGCCAAACUUUUUAAAUUUUAAAAUUAUAUGAAUAUAUAUCCAUAUAUCGUAAUAUUUAGGUAAAUUCCAAUUCAAAUUUAUAACCCAAAAA
rnacentral:rRNA from 1 species